UGAGGGAUAUUGGGCAAUGGGGGAAACCCUGACCCAGCAACGCCGCGUGAGGGAAGAAGGUCUUCGGAUUGUAAACCUAAGUAGUCAGGGACGAAGGAAUGACGGUACCUGAAGAGUAAGCUCCGGCUAACUACGUGCCAGCAGCCGCGGUAAUACGUAGGGAGCGAGCGUUGUCCGGAAUUACUGGGUGUAAAGGGUGCGUAGGCGGGCUGUCAAGUCAGAUGUGAAAUACCGGGGCUUAACUCCGGGGCUGCAUUUGAAACUGAUGGUCUUGAGUGAAGUAGAGGCAGGCGGAAUUCCUAGUGUAGCGGUGAAAUGCGUAGAUAUUAGGAGGAACACCAGUGGCGAAGGCGGCCUGCUGGGCUUUAACUGACGCUGAGGCACGAAAGCAUGGGGAGCAAACA
rnacentral:rRNA from 1 species